rnacentral:tRNA from 1 species
GCCCCAGUGGCCUGAUGGAUAAGGCACUGGCCUCCUAAACCAGGGUUGUGGGUUUUAAUCCCAUCUGGGGUU